AUUAUUCGACGAUAACCCAUCAGUUGCCAGUUAAUCGCAAAGCAGGCUAGACCCGAGCCGGGAAAUAUUUGUUAAAAUAAGUCUGACAGGCAAAAAUAGUGAUUAUACUGGACGAUAGUUAAAUUGUGCCAGUGAGAACAAGUGGAUGUGAAGCAGCAGAUUUACGAUAAGUGAUGCUCCUCCUGGAUCACCGCAUGCGGAUGCAUGUUAUCAUGGAGUAGAGUGGAAUAACUUCUGAGAUCGGCCUUUCGUUUCAACCUAAAAGCGAUGGUGGAGAAUGCCAUAAUUUUGGCGCAGUGGUUGGUGCUUCCGAGCAAGGAAUGACGGGUCGGUGAUGGAAUACCCGAGAUGCGCCCUGAGUUGUCCGGACAAAACCCCCUUCUCUGCAGUCGCCGCGGGAUACUCCUACCCAACACACUGACGCCCAUUACAUCUAGGUUUAAGUUCACACCCUAACCGUAAGUAAUAAACCGCUACUA